rnacentral:lncRNA from 1 species
GCUUGGUGAGAGUGUGCUCCAAUUGCUUAUUGGUGCCUGUCACGGACAUGGAAGUGGUGCUGUGUGCAUCACAUUUGCCAUCCUUGGUUUGGCCUGUCUUUCCCAUCUGAGCUUGCCUUCUUACUACACCCUUCUGUAAACCCUUUGCUGCACUCACACUGCCCAGCUCCCUGCCCCCUGCGAUGCUGGAUGCCGUGUGCUGCCUGCCUGCCUCUGUGCCCUGGUGCCCCCGCCUUCCCCGGCCUGGGACACUCUCCCUCACUCCUCAGCUCAUCCAGGCUUGUCCUCUUCUGCAAGGAUCAGUUCAGACUGCCCUGCAGGGAAGCUCCUCCAACCCACCCCUGCCCUAACCAUUCCACAACCAAAGGAUGCCAUCUGUUUCUGACUUCUCAUAACACUCUCCGCGUCUUCCAUGGCCUGCACACACAUCUCAUGGCACCUCAUGUGGGCACUGGUGUCCUUUCCUCAUGCCUAUUGCUGACCUCUUAGUGACUGUGAGGCCCAAGGGCAGCUAUGUUGUCCCCUCCCCUUUGUUGGGGACAAAGGGAAUAUGAUUUUGUGAUUUAAUUGGCAGAGCUUGGAUGUGGCAAUCAGAGAUCCUAGCUAGGGCUCCCGGUGCUGCUGCUUGGGGAUGUGUGACUGUCCCUAAAUCUUUUGACCUCUCUGAGCCUCAGAUUCCUCUUCUAAUAACACAGAGUCACUGGGAGCACGCAGGGAGAUGUGUGUGCCUGGUGCAUUCUGAGCUCUGGGUGCAUAGUAAGCACUUGGCUUAAUACCUGGUAGUGUUCUCUUUCUUUCCUUCCUGGCCCUGGUUCCUUGAACAACCAUUCCAAUGUGGUCCUUAUAUCUUUCUUUGGGACGGCCCUCCAAGUGUUUGUUGGGAGUCCAAGUGGUACAGCCCGAGAGCUUGGUGCAGGAGAAAGCGGGUAUUCUGUUCACUCAUGGAAAGACCCAAAGAUCAUGGGAACCGCAGCAUCAAAGGCAGCCCCACUUUAGGCAGCAGCUGUGUUCGCGCACAACUGUAUGCAAUUUCAAUUUGAUUAGCUUUAACAUGAGCCCCCUUUUACAAGUCCCAGGGGACUUGCCAAUUAAUGAUCUGUUUGGCAAAUCCUUUUGUAAAAUGCAGAGUCACCAAAUUGUUCUGCUUUGUGGUUCUGGAUUCGUACAUAUUAGGUUUUCUUCAAGUAGGUACUAUUUUAGCAGUGAAACCUCCUUAUAUUCUAGCCAAGUUUUUGAGCUUCAGUAGUCAAAAUUACUAUUUAUUUAAAUCUGUUGAAUAUGUAUUAUAUUCCGGAAAGCUAUUUUCAACUCAUGAAAAUUAAGUGAGAAAACUAGAGUUACCAGGGUCCGUCUUCUGUUCCUGCUGUGUACCCGACUCUCGCUGGCGGUCCUGGCAGAUGCUCAGCUGUCCUUGAUAAAGGAACAGGAGUGCUAAAAACCAGGAAGAUGCUGAGAACAAGUAAUCUGGCCCGGGAAACAUGUAAUUACCAUGAGUGCCAGUCUCUGUAAUGAAGCGUUGAUAGGGCCAAGUCCAGAGCAUAAAUUACCAGGGAAGGGGGCAAGGUAAGAUGUCGCGUCCAACAAUUUAGCCUCCGAGUAGCUUCCGGCAGCUGUCCUGUAAUGCGUCUUGUCUGGUGCAGACCAAGGCAGAUGCAUUCCAGUGCAUUCCACCUCAAAGGGAGAUAAGCAUGGAAGGAGUCAAGUGAGACUGUUGGUCUGUCUGCCACUCCCUCUGGAGAGAUACUAGGAGUUUCAGUAGUGUUUGCUUGUUGUCGCAGAAUCCUAGAUUUCCAGGACAGACUUUGAGAUCAACCCUCUCAUUUUACAGAUAAAGGAAUCGAGGUCCAGGAAGGGGAGUAGAAUUACCAAAGCCUCCAAGUGAGUCAGUAGCCAUGGUUGGUACUUGAACUUCCAUCCUUUGACUUGGUUUACCUUUGUUACCCCACUCAGUUCUACCCCAGGAUGGCCAGAGGAGACCAGGCUUGACUGACAGCCCUGUUUCCUAGGGGAUGUCACUGUCUAGGUAGAGAUGCUGGAGAUAUAGCAGGAAGAAAACACACCCAAAUCCUGGCCUGCAUGGAGCUGAUAUUGUAAGAUACCCCACACCAUCAGUCAAAGAUAUACCAUGUCAGCAAGAGGAAGCCUGGAUAUGCCGUGUGUGUUUUUCUAGUGGUGAUUGUUUCUUCAUUAGAGCCUACAAAGUCGGUAUGUUUUAAAAUCCAAAACUGGAACAAAAUGAAAGCCGUCCGUGAAUCUUGGCUGAGUUUGGGCCGUAAUUCAUUCAAGUAGCUCAUUACGCAUCGGAAUUACCCAACUGCCGAAGCUUCUGAACAGCAGGCAAUUCUAGAGCUUCACUUUCAACUUUCUGCUCUUAUUGAUUUAUGAAACCUUACUACCUUCAAAAUCAUGAAAUAUUCCAGGCAUGCAAAGAGGCACAGAGAAUAUUUUAAUGAAUAUCGUGCACCCACCACCCAACCGAGGAAAUAAAGCCUGACAGUUACAAUCGAUGCUCCUGUAGACUCCUCCCAGAUUUCCUUCCUUCUCGCUCUCCCUAGAGAUUACCACUGCCUGAAUUUAGCAAUUUUUCUUAAGUUUGCUAUCCAUAUAUGUAAUCAUAAACUACAUGAGGCAUUGUGUGUGUUUAAAAACUUUAUAUAAAUGGCAUCUUGCUAAACAUAUCCUUCCGCAAUGUGUUCAUCUUGCCACGUUGGUGGGACUCAUCUGUGCUGAUCUAUAUUGCUGUAGUUUAUUUCACUGCUGCAUAGUAUUCUGGUAUAUGAAUAUAUCACGGAAUAUUCAUCUGUCCUCCUGCUGAUGGGCAUUUAGGCUGCUUGCUGUUUCUUGCCACGGUAAACAAUACUACAGUGAGUGUCCUGGUACAUCUCCUUGUGUACAAAUGCAAAACUUCCUCCAGAGUGUAUACUUAUGAUUGGAAUCACUGGAGUUCAAGGCAUGUAUGGUAGACAGAAUUGAAGGUACACAUGCCCUGUGUAAUCUCCAGGACCGUGGAUAUGAGGAAUAUCGCUCCUGAGACUGGAUUGUGUUUUAUGGCACAGUUGAAUUUAAGAUAGAGAGAGUGUUAAAGACAAGAUAAUUGUGUCUCCAUACCACUUAAUCCUUCCCCGUCCCCCAGCCAAUUCAUACGUUGAAAUGCUAAUCCCCAAUGCGGUGGCACUGGAAAGUGGGGACCUUAGGAAGUGAUUAGAUCAUAAGGGUGAACCCCUCAUGAUGGGACUGGUGCCUUUAUGAGAAGAGGUUAGAAGGCUAGCUAACUCUCUCUCUGCCAUGUGAGGACACAGUGAGAAGGUGGCCAUCUGCAACCCAGAAGAAGGCCCUCACCAGAACCCGGCCAAGCUGACACCUAACCUUAGACUUUCAACCCUCCAGAAUUGUGAGAAAUAAGUCCCUGUUGUUUAUGAGCCUUGAGUGUGUGGUACUUUGUUAUAGCAACCUGAACUAACAAAGUGAGAUUGUCCAGAUGGGCAUGAUCUAAUCACUGGAGCUCUUUAGAUGAAAGUCUGUUGGCCAGAGACUGAGAAGUUAGAGGGGUUUGAAGUGCUAGAGGGAGAUUCUCCAUGCUGGCUCUGAAGAUGGAGGGGGCAUGUCACCAAGAAUGUGGCUGGUGUCUAAGAGCUGAGAGCAGCCCCUGGCUGACAGUCAGCAAGGGCAUGAGGAUGUCAGUCCUCCAAGCGCAAGGACCUAUACUCUGCCAGCAACCUGAGUGAUCUUGGAAGAGGAUCCUGAGCUCCAGAUGAGACCACACCUCAGGGCAUGCCUUGACUUCAUCCUUGCAAGAAUCUGAGCAGAGAACCCAGACAUGAUGUGUCUGGACUUCUGACCUAUGGGAACCAUGAGACAUAUUUGCUUUUUUUAAAAAAAAAUUGUGGUGAAAUAUCCAUAACAUAAAUGUGCCAUUUGUAGAGGUACAGUUCAGUGGCCUUAAGUCUAUCCACAUGAUUAUGCAACCAUCAGCACCGUCUAUCUCUAGAACCUUUUCAUCUUCCCAAAUUGAAACUCUGUCUGUAUUAAAAUUCACAUUGUUUUAAGUUGCUAAGUUUGUGGUAAUCCAUAAAUAGCAACAGAUAAUUAACACAAUAUCCAAAGCCAUAUUUUUUCUAACAAAUUAUUUUAUCAGAGUAGUCUCACUCAUUUGCCUAUGGUAUCACUAUUCAAGAAUUUCUAGGAUACAUUUAUUACCAACAUAUCAGAGAAGAACUAAAAUAGCUCAACCUUUGUUUCAUUCUCCUGUGGAGGUUUCAAGCAGGUAGUGACUUCAGAAAGAAAUGGGAAUAGUUUCUACCUAGAUUAAACCUUCUAAUUCUCCUCCCCCUCCCCCAUUACAUAUAUAAUUUGUUGCUUAGAAACACCUUUAUUUCCCAUUUUAUUUUUAAAAUUGCAGUGACAGAAUGGAAGGGAGGUGUUAGCUUGAA